UACGGAGGGGGCUAGCGUUGUUCGGAAUUACUGGGCGUAAAGCGCACGUAGGCGGACUGUUAAGUCGGGGGUGAAAUCCUGGGGCUCAACCUCAGAAUUGCCUCCGAUACUGGCGGCCUCGAGUGCGGGAGAGGUGAGUGGAAUUCCCAGUGUAGAGGUGAAAUUCGUAGAUAUUGGGAAGAACACCAGUGGCGAAGGCGGCUCACUGGCCCGUAACUGACGCUGAGGCGCGAAAGCUAGGGGAGCAAACAGG
rnacentral:rRNA from 1 species